CGUUCCCGGGCCUUGUACACACCGCCCGUCAAGUCAUGAAAGUCGGUAACACCCGAAGCCGGCGGCCUAACCCUUGUGGAGGGAGCCGUCGAAGGUGGGACUGGCGAUUAGGACU
rnacentral:rRNA from 1 species